CUCUACAAGUGUAACAUCAGCGGUCGUGGAGAGUCUCCAUCCAGCUGGAUCUCUGUCACAGUGAAACCCACCACUACAAGUCCUCCUUCAACCCCCUCUCCUCCUGGUUCCUCCUCUGCCCCUCCCUUAGCAUUUUGGUCUACGGUUCUAUCUUUCUGUGUACUGGUUCUUCUGGUUGUACUGGUGAGACGAUGCCUCCACAGGAAACCUAAAGAGAGUGAUCCAGCUGCAGUCUACUCAGCAGUGAGAGGAGCAGGAGACGUCAGUUAUGGACAAAUAGUCAUCAGACCACACAGGACGAGAGAGUUUCCAGCAGAGCCAGAGGUCGUCUACUCUUCACUGAGGUAGACCUUCACACCUUCACACCAGUCCAACCACUGAUGUCCAGCUGGCCUGGGACUGGUCCCCAGAGCCCCUCACACCUCAGCACAUUAAUUUAUUAGAUUUCACUGUUAAAGCUACAAAGAGACAAACAGGUCAGACUUUGUGAAUGAUUUAAACACUUGUUUUUCAGUGAUAUCAGUGACAUGAAAAACCUAAAACAAAAGAUUAAAUAAAUUGUUAAAAUACUUAUUUUAAGUCACUGAAUUAUUUUUUUACCCUGUAAAGUAUUUCAGCACCGACACGUUACCUGUUUCUUUGUAGUUUUAUUCAUAUAUUUCAUAACAGAAUCUAAUGAUGACU